rfam:Schistosoma mansoni strain Puerto Rico chromosome W, complete genome
GCACUGCCGAGGAGUCCUGCGAUAGGACGAAACGGCCGUCCAGUGC